ACCAUUAAUUUCAAUUCU
rnacentral:misc_RNA from 1 species